rnacentral:lncRNA from 1 species
GAACCUAGUCCAAGGAACUAGCAGCCGCCCCCAAUCAGUUCUCUCCUCUCUCAAAUUUUCGGAAUCAAAACAAUAAGAGGAGAGUGAGUGACUUUCAUUGAAAAAAAGAGAGUGAACUUAGAAAUAAGGAUUACUACCGCCUUUGAAUCUUCAUUGUUCCUUUUCCUCUCUCACCCAACUCCAUCUUCAUCGCCUACCAUAAACACCCACAUAUAUCACCUUCUUCAAACCAUAUCAUUCCAUCUCUAAGCACACACUCACUCCCUUCACUAAAAAGGGCUCACGAAAAUACCUCUCAUCUCACCCAUUUCACUCCCAUAAAAAAAACAUAUUCUUCAUACCUCUUCUUCCCACUACAACCACCACUAAACAACACCUUUGUGCUACCUUCUCCGACCACCAAUAUUCUAUACACCAACUUUUCAUCCUUACACCCCAAACACUAUACAAAAUGAAUCACCUUCAACCUCCCCGUUUUCCUCCAUAACCACCAUAAAUCAAACUUCAUCAAACUCCCUGCAACCAUGACAGAGCACAAACCCACAGUUUUCUCUCCAACACAAAACCCCUCACUGUGAAACAACAAUAACUCUCACUAUCUCAUUUUCAAAUCCAUUCAAAAUAUCUAAGGGAGUGUGGAUAUUUUUCUUGAAUCUGAUGCGAAUACAUGUUGUGUGUCUUAUUUGUAGGGUAGAAAUUGGUUAUGGUUAUAACAACUGCUUUCUUAAGCAUGAAAUGGAACGGUAGAUGCACAAUCAUCAUGGUUAGAGACAUAGCAUGAUUUUUAAAGCUUCGAUCAUCUCUUUUUCCAAUAAUGACGGUUAGCCGACGGUAACGAUUUAAAAGAAUUUCUUCUCCGGUGUUAUGUUUAUUGCUCUAAUGUUGGUUUCGGUUUUGAUCUGAUCACGUUGCUUACUUGCUGCAGUUAUGAUUACAUCAACUUUGAUUUUA